UUGUAAAAAACCCCCAUCAAGAUGCACAUAUUAUUUUUUAGUGCAUAUUCUUCCUUUUCUGUUCUAUUAAUUGAAUAGUCAUAAGAAGCAAUUAGGUCAAAAUGAACUAGGUCUAAGUGAGGCGGUGUAUGUUCUGAAAUUUUCUUUCCUUUCAUGCUGAUUUCAGAAGUUGUUUCUGAUUUGGGCACAAUAAUUCAAGGAAGGACCAGAAGAGAUAAAAACUAUAUAGGUGAUGAGCGCAACAUAUUGAAUUAUGUCCGUCAUUUGAUGCCUCUGGACUAGCAGCGUAUGCUACUCCUUUUGGAUGUAGGAGGUGAUUUAGAACGAAAAGUAUUGGAGCUAGAAGAAGUGGAGUCAAGAGGUUCGAUAGUUAUUUUUUGUGUUGUUCUGGAUGGUGUUGAAUGUAAAGUCGGAUGUAGACUUGGUUUUUCAUGAUGACUUCAGAAUCUCGCUGAUGUUACCGAUAGCUCAAAGUAACUUAAUCUUAUGUUCAAAAUGUUACUACUAUGGUUUAUAAUUUGUACACUAUAUGAACAUUGUGCA